rnacentral:rRNA from 1 species
GUGUCAGCAGCCGCGGUAAUACAGAGGGUGCGAGCGUUAAUCGGAAUUACUGGGCGUAAAGCGAACGUAGGUGGUUUUGCAAGUCGAGUGUGAAAGCCCCGGGCUCAACCUGGGAACUGCAUUCGAGACUGCAUUACUCGAGUAUGGGAGAGGGCAGCGGAAUUUCCGGUGUAGCGGUGAAAUGCGUAGAUAUCGGAAGGAACAUCAGUGGCGAAAGCGGCUGCCUGGCCCAAUACUGACACUCAAGUUCGAAAGCGUGGGGAGCAAACAGGAUUAGAUACCCUGGUAGUCC